rnacentral:tRNA from 2 species
UCCAGCGUAGCUCAGUGGUAGAGCAAUCGGCUGUUAACCGAUCGGUCGUAGGUUCGAGCCCUACCGCUGGAGCCA